rnacentral:ncRNA from 2 species
AGGAGCCGUAUACGAGGCCCGUACGUACGGUUCUGUGAGAGGGCUAACGCCGUAGCAAAUUACUACGGCGUUAUUCUACUCGAU